AGCGAACGCUGGCGGCAGGCUUAACACAUGCAAGUCGAACGGUCCUUUCGGGGACAGUGGCGGACGGGUGAGUAACACGUGGGAAUGUGCCUUUAGGUUCGGAAUAACUCAGGGAAACUUGAGCUAAUACCGGAUGUGCCCGUAAGGGGAAAGAUUUAUUGCCUUUAGAGCAGCCCGCGUCUGAUUAGCUAGUUGGUGAGGUAAAGGCUCACCAAGGCGACGAUCAGUAGCUGGUCGAGAGGAUGGCCAGCCACACUGGGACUGAGACACGGCCCAGACUCCUACGGGAGGCAGCAGUGGGGAAUCUUGCGCAAAUGGGCGAAAGCCUGACGCAGCCAUGCCGCGUGGAUGAUGAAGGUCUUAGGAUUGUAAAAUCCUUUCACCGGGGACGAUAAUGACGGUACCCGGAGAAGAAGCCCCCGGCUAACUUCGUGCCAGCCGCCGC
rnacentral:rRNA from 1 species